rnacentral:rRNA from 1 species
CACGUUGAUAGGCCGGGUGUGGAAGUGCGGCAACGCAUGAAGCUUACCGGUACUAAUAGCUCGAUUGGCUUGAUCGUUCUCAUU